rnacentral:lncRNA from 1 species
GGGCACUCCACAGAAGGAUGUUAUUAUCAAGUCAGAUGCACCGGACACUUUGUUAUUGGAGAAACAUGCAGAUUAUAUCGCAUCCUAUGGCUCAAAGAAAGAUGAUUAUGAAUACUGUAUGUCUGAGUAUUUGAGAAUGAGUGGCAUCUAUUGGGGUCUGACAGUAAUGGAUCUCAUGGGACAACUUCAUCGCAUGAAUAGAGAAGAGAUUCUGGCAUUUAUUAAGUCUUGCCAACAUGAAUGUGGUGGAAUAAGUGCUAGUAUCGGACAUGAUCCUCAUCUUUUAUACACUCUUAGUGCUGUCCAGAUUCUUACGCUGUAUGACAGUAUUAAUGUUAUUGACGUAAAUAAAGUUGUGGAAUAUGUUAAAGGUCUACAGAAAGAAGAUGGUUCUUUUGCUGGAGAUAUUUGGGGUAAUGUCAGAUUUAGUCCAUUCUACCCAAAAUACCAAUAUUAAAAUGUACUGGUUUUGCUAGUAACCAGUUUAUAAGUUUUUCAUCUUUUCAGGUCCCACUAAGCAGCUGGUCUAACUGGAGUUAAUGGUCUGCUGGAACUUCCAGCAUGCACUGUGGUAGUUAUAUCAGCAUAUACAGGAGCACUGGAACAGAGGGGGCCAGUCUAAAAGAUAAGGGAUGAACACAGUGCAGGCCAGAGAGACCAGCUGCUUCAUGGGAUGUGAAAAAUCUACUUUUAUAAAGUAGGGAGAAAUUGACACAAGAUUCUCUUUUUGUGCGGUGGCAACUUUGGCUUUGUUGGGGAAGCUUGAUGCUAUUAAUGUGGAAAAGGCAAUCGAAUUUGUUUUAUCCUGUAUGAACUUUGACGGUGGAUUUGGUUGCAGACCAGGUUCUGAAUCCCAUGCUGGGCAGAUCUAUUGUUGCACAGGAUUUCUGGCAAUUACAAGUCAGUUGCAUCAAGUAAAUUCUGAUUUACUUGGCUGGUGGCUUUGUGAACGACAAUUACCCUCAGGCGGGCUCAAUGGAAGGCCGGAGAAGUUACCAGAUGUAUGCUACUCAUGGUGGGUCCUGGCUUCCCUAAAGAUAAUUGGAAGACUUCAUUGGAUUGAUAGAGAGAAACUGCGUAAUUUCAUUUUAGCAUGUCAAGAUGAAGAAACGGGGGGAUUUGCAGACAGGCCAGGAGAUAUGGUGGAUCCUUUUCAUACCUUAUUUGGAAUUGCUGGAUUGUCACUUUUGGGAGAAGAACAGAUUAAACCUGUUAAUCCUGUCUUUUGCAUGCCUGAAGAAGUGCUUCAGAGAGUGAAUGUUCAGCCUGAGCUAGUGAGCUAGAUUCAUUGAAUUGAAAGUUGCAUAGUAUAGUUUUGCCAUUUUAACAUUUCUGUAUUUGAAGUGCUUAUCGAAUCUAAAAGUGACUACUGUUAAUAUUUUGUAUAUUGUGUUAAAUUAAUUUUAAUAAAUUAUAUAAUUAUACAU